rnacentral:rRNA from 1 species
UACAGAGGGUGCAAGCGUUAAUCGGAAUUACUGGGCGUAAAGCGUGCGCAGACGGUUGCGUAAGUCAGAUGUGAAAGCCCCGGGCUCAACCUGGGAAUUGCACCUCAAACUACACGGCUAGAGCAUUGGAGAGGGUAGCAGAAUUCACGGUGUAGCAGUGAAAUGCGUAGAUAUCGUGAGGAAUACCAGAGGCGAAGGCGGCUACCUGGACAAUUGCUGACGCUCAGGCACGAAAGCGUGGGGAGCAAAAGGG